rnacentral:scRNA from 3 species
GCGGAAGCGAAGACCCAAGC